UCAUCACAUGUGCAUUUGCAACACAUUGGCGGAGGCAAUACGAACUGCAUUUCUCGCUAGCUGGACAAAUCGGAAUGGCAAUGCAUCUUGGAGAACAAGACUCGAAUUGUGAAAGUCUGGUGGUUUUCGCCAAGUUUCACAGAACUUUGUAUUAUGUCAAGAUGGGCUAACACCAUGUCACCUGAUGCUGUCACUCUCUGGGUGCCAUGGAUAAUGAAGAUAGGGAAGUACAGGCUAGCAUCGCUGUCCAAGAUCCAUCCGGCAGCUUCUCUGUCACAGGUCCAUGUGUCCCAACUGCUGGUCUUCAAUGGGAGUUGACACUAGGAGGUUCCCAGAUAAAAAAAAUUUAUAUCAAGAAUUUUCCACAGCAUUUUCCACGUUACCUCUGUAUGGUUGGAUACACUGACCGGUCGACACCCCUGAGAAGGCUUCCUUGCAAGCUCGUGCAGCAAGACUUGCCUCUAAGCAGCAAAAGCAAAGAAAGGAGAUGAAAAGUCUGCAGCAGUCAAGGUGGCAUUUUCAAAAAGAGAAUGCUAAACUGAAAUCCGUUCUGAAAAGACAAAACACACAAUAUAUUUUAUUCAGAGA